UCCUCUGUAGUUCAGUCGGUAGAACGGCGGACUGUUAAUCCGUAUGUCACUGGUUCGAGUCCAGUCAGGAGCCA
rnacentral:tRNA from 2 species